CAAUAGAAAUGGGCUCAAUAGCCCAUUUAAAACUUUUAAUAAGAGGACAGUGUUGUUGGAUCCUAAAGGGCCCAUCUUACUUUGUAACGGACCUUAUAGCCCUAAAGAACUUCAAACGGACGAAAAUAACCCUCUAGCUUCGCAAGGAUUAGGGUUUCCAAUUGCCAAAACCUUGUCGCCUAUAAAUAUCUAAGAGAGGGCAUAUUCAAUCGUCUUAAAAAUUUAUAUUAGAAAAUCUGGUCGAUUCUUGUCAAAUCGCCGAAAGAGGAAGAGAAGCUGUUUCAGAGAGCUUGAACCAAGAUGAGAGCUAAGUGGAAGAAGAAGCGCAUGAGAAGAUUGAAGAGGAAGCGCCGAAAGAUGAGGCAGAGAUCCAAGUAGGCAUGUGGAGUGGUACGAUAUGGGGUUCUUUCCUAGUGAUAUACUUUCAGCCUUCAGCCUAUGGUUCAUUAAAAUGAAUGACUGAAUGAUGUUCUAUAGGGGGAACUCGUUUUGUUUUCUGUGUUCUAGUUUUAGCUUUAGCAAUUGUUAUUGAGGAGACAGUGAUGUUUUCCGACUUGUGGGUUAAAUGUUUUUAAUCGUAUUUGACUUCUAUUUUAGUAUUGUUUUCAAAUGGAUGAAGAAUCUGCUUAAAAAAGUCCUAUUUCACUAUGAUCUAAUCCUUAAUAUAAUGUUCCUUGUAUUGAAAUGUGUAUGAUAAAUAUUUUUUUUA